UACGUAGGCCACGAGCGUUGUUCGGAAUUACUGGGCGUAAAGAGUGUGUAGGCGGUGCUCUAAGUUCGGUGUGAAAUCUCCCGGCUUAACUGGGAGAGUGCGCCGGAAACUGGAGUGCUCGAGCGUGGGAGAGGAAAGCGGAAUUCCUGGUGUAGCGGUGAAAUGCGUAGAUAUCAGGAGGAACACCUGCGGUGUAGACGGCUUUCUGGACCAUUGCUGACGCUGAGACACGAAAGCGAGGGUAGCAAACAGG
rnacentral:rRNA from 1 species